rnacentral:rRNA from 1 species
AAUAUUGGACAAUGGGCGCAAGCCUGAUCCAGCCAUACCGCGUGGGUGAAGAAGGCCUUCGGGUUGUAAAGCCCUUUUGCUGGGCAAGAAAUCCAGCCGGCUAAUACCCGGUUCGGAUGACGGUAUCCACAUAAUAAGCACCGGCUAACUUCGUGCCAGCAGCCGCGGUAAUACGAAGGGUGCAAGCGUUACUCGGAAUUACUGGGCGUAAAGCGGGCGUAGGUGGUCGUUUAAGUCCGUUGUGGAAGCCCUGGGCUCAACCUGGGAACUGCAGUGGAUACUGGGCGACUAGAAUGUGGUAGAGGGUAGCGGAAUUCCUGGUGUAGCAGUGAAAUGCGUAGAGAUCAGGAGGAACAUCCAUGGCGAAGGCAGCUACCUGGACCAACAUUGACACUGAGGCACGAAAGCGUGGGGAGCAAACAGG